rnacentral:rRNA from 1 species
UACGUAGGGACCGAGUGUUGUCCGGAAUCAUUGGGCGUAAAGAGCGCGUAGGCGGCCCUGUAAGUCCGUUCUGAAAGUCGGAGGCUCAACCUCCGAAAGCGGAUGGAUACUGCAGGGCUAGAGUCCGGAAGAGGCGAGUGGAAUUCCUGGUGUAGCGGUGGAAUGCGCAGAUAUCAGGAGGAACACCAACGGCGAAGGCAGCUCGCUGGGACGGUACUGACGCUGAGGCGCGAAAGCGUGGGGAGCGAACAGG